AUUCUAGUAUUGGCCUUAAUCUACAUGUGUUGAGGUGGAUUGAUGUGUAAAUUAGUUUAAGUUAUACCCAAUCCAUCUCAAUACAUGUGGAUUGGGGUCAAUAUUAGA
rnacentral:pre_miRNA from 1 species